rnacentral:rRNA from 1 species
UUAAGCGACUAAGCGUACACGGUGGAUGCCCUGGCAGUCAGAGGCGAUGAAGGACGUGCUAAUCUGCGAAAAGCGUCGGUAAGGUGAUAUGAACCGUUAUAACCGGCGAUGUCCGAAUGGGGAAACCCAGUGCAAUUCGUUGCACUAUCGUUAACUGAAUACAUAGGUUAACGAGGCGAACCGGGGGAACUGAAACAUCUAAGUACCCCGAGGAAAAGAAAUCAACCGAGAUUCCCCCAGUAGCGGCGAGCGAACGGGGAGCAGCCCAGAGUCUGAAUCAGCUUGUGUGUUAGUGGAACGGUCUGGAAAGUCCGACGGUACAGGGUGAUAGUCCCGUACACCAAAAUGCACAGGCUGUGAACUCGAAGAGUAGGGCGGGACACGUGGUAUCCUGUCUGAAUAUGGGGGGACCAUCCUCCAAGGCUAAAUACUCCUGACUGACCGAUAGUGAACCAGUACCGUGAGGGAAAGGCGAAAAGAACCCCGGCGAGGGGAGUGAAAAAGAACCUGAAACCGUGUACGUACAAGCAGUGGGAGCACCUUCGGGUGUGACUGCGUACCUUUUGUAUAAUGGGUCAGCGACUUAUAUUCUGUAGCAAGGUUAACCGUAUAGGGGAGCCGCAGGGAAACCGAGUCUUAACUGGGCGUUAAGUUGCAGGGUAUAGACCCGAAACCCGGUGAUCUAGCCAUGGGCAGGUUGAAGGUUGGGUAACACUAACUGGAGGACCGAACCGACUAAUGUUGAAAAAUUAGCGGAUGACUUGUGGCUGGGGGUGAAAGGCCAAUCAAACCGGGAGAUAGCUGGUUCUCCCCGAAAGCUAUUUAGGUAGCGCCUCGUGAACUCAUCUUCGGGGGUAGAGCACUGUUUCGGCUAGGGGGUCAUCCCGACUUACCAACCCGAUGCAAACUACGAAUACCGAAGAAUGUUAUCACGGGAGACACACGGCGGGUGCUAACGUCCGUCGUGAAGAGGGAAACAACCCAGACCGCCAGCUAAGGUCCCAAAGUCAUGGUUAAGUGGGAAACGAUGUGGGAAGGCACAGACAGCCAGGAUGUUGGCUUAGAAGCAGCCAUCAUUUAAAGAAAGCGUAAUAGCUCACUGGUCGAGUCGGCCUGCGCGGAAGAUGUAACGGGGCUAAACCAUGCACCGAAGCUGCGGCAGCGACACUAUGUGUUGUUGGGUAGGGGAGCGUUCUGUAAGCCUGCGAAGGUGACCUGUGAGGGUUGCUGGAGGUAUCAGAAGUGCGAAUGCUGACAUAAGUAACGAUAAAGCGGGUGAAAAGCCCGCUCGCCGGAAGACCAAGGGUUCCUGUCCAACGUUAAUCGGGGCAGGGUGAGUCGACCCCUAAGGCGAGGCCGAAAGGCGUAGUCGAUGGGAAACAGGUUAAUAUUCCUGUACUUGGUGUUACUGCGAAGGGGGGACGGAGAAGGCUAUGUUAGCCGGGCGACGGUUGUCCCGGUUUAAGCAUGUAGGCUGGUUGUCCAGGCAAAUCCGGAUAAUCAAGGCUGAGGUGUGAUGACGAGGCACUACGGUGCUGAAGUAACAAAUGCCCUGCUUCCAGGAAAAGCCUCUAAGCAUCAGGUAACAUCAAAUCGUACCCCAAACCGACACAGGUGGUCAGGUAGAGAAUACCAAGGCGCUUGAGAGAACUCGGGUGAAGGAACUAGGCAAAAUGGUGCCGUAACUUCGGGAGAAGGCACGCUGGUGUGUAGGUGAAGUCCCUGCGGAUGGAGCUGAGACCAGUCGAAGAUACCAGCUGGCUGCAACUGUUUAUUAAAAACACAGCACUGUGCAAACACGAAAGUGGACGUAUACGGUGUGACGCCUGCCCGGUGCCGGAAGGUUAAUUGAUGGGGUUAUCCGUAAGGAGAAGCUCUUGAUCGAAGCCCCGGUAAACGGCGGCCGUAACUAUAACGGUCCUAAGGUAGCGAAAUUCCUUGUCGGGUAAGUUCCGACCUGCACGAAUGGCGUAAUGAUGGCCAGGCUGUCUCCACCCGAGACUCAGUGAAAUUGAACUCGCUGUGAAGAUGCAGUGUACCCGCGGCAAGACGGAAAGACCCCGUGAACCUUUACUAUAGCUUGACACUGAACAUUGAGCCUUGAUGUGUAGGAUAGGUGGGAGGCUUUGAAGCGUGGACGCCAGUCUGCGUGGAGCCAACCUUGAAAUACCACCCUUUAAUGUUUGAUGUUCUAACGUUGGCCCCUGACCGGGGUUGCGGACAGUGUCUGGUGGGUAGUUUGACUGGGGCGGUCUCCUCCCAAAGCGUAACGGAGGAGCACGAAGGUUAGCUAAUCCUGGUCGGACAUCAGGAGGUUAGUGCAAUGGCAUAAGCUAGCUUGACUGCGAGCGUGACGGCGCGAGCAGGUGCGAAAGCAGGUCAUAGUGAUCCGGUGGUUCUGAAUGGAAGGGCCAUCGCUCAACGGAUAAAAGGUACUCCGGGGAUAACAGGCUGAUACCGCCCAAGAGUUCAUAUCGACGGCGGUGUUUGGCACCUCGAUGUCGGCUCAUCACAUCCUGGGGCUGAAGUAGGUCCCAAGGGUAUGGCUGUUCGCCAUUUAAAGUGGUACGCGAGCUGGGUUUAGAACGUCGUGAGACAGUUCGGUCCCUAUCUGCCGUGGGCGCUGGAGAAUUGAGGGGGGCUGCUCCUAGUACGAGAGGACCGGAGUGGACGCAUCACUGGUGUUCGGGUUGUCAUGCCAAUGGCACUGCCCGGUAGCUAAAUGCGGAAGAGAUAAGUGCUGAAAGCAUCUAAGCACGAAACUUGCCCCGAGAUGAGUUCUCCCUGAGACUUUAAGUCUCCUGAAGGAACGUUGAAGACGACGACGUUGAUAGGCCGGGUGUGUAAGCGCAGCGAUGCGUUGAGCUAACCGGUACUAAUGAACCGUGAGGCUUAACCU